GAUCAUUGAAAGAAGAAAUGGGAGACGGUAAUCUCGAUCUCUUCUCUCAAUAUAUCAUCCUUAAUUUAUGGUGCCUUGUAUUAUGACAGCUGUUACGAGGGCUCUUACGUUUUCACGACACGUCGAACGAAUGUUCGAGGAUCGAAUCGGCUGGCGUCCAAGUUUCCUCACAGCCUCCUUUUCCGAGCCUUUGAUAUGAUGAUGAUGUCUGCAUUUGAUUGAAAAGUGUCUUGUCUUUUGUAUUGGUAUUUCGUGUCAGCUUGAUGAGCUGUUAUGGGCUGGAUUAUCCUAUAAUUUUCUCCCGUACUACGUACAUCUCACCAUCUAUCGGUCGGUGCUAGUGUUGGCGGUGGAGCUCAAAUUGACGAAGAUUUGAUUUCCGAGUCUCAAAGAAAGAAAGAAAAAAGAAAGAGAGAGAGAAAGAGAUCGAGAUUCACACCUCCAAGGCUCGGCGCCACAUCCAAUUCACGGACAGACAUCAUCGCGUCUGCCCACCACCUCUCUUUGAAGUUCAGUUUAGAGCUAGUUUUGAGUCUGCUCUGUAGCAUUACCUUACACAACCAGGGAGGGGAAGAUAUUACCAGGAAAGAGACUCAUCGGACAAUCCUCGAAAUGACUUGUUCAUUUAAGCCAUUUUGUUCAAAUUCUCUUACAGGGUUACCGCGUUGACGUUCUCUGUACUUUUUGAGUUCCCACAUCUCCUGUUUGGCAACCCUCUGCACCCUCCCCGUCCCCCAUAGGCUAGAGGCUAGAGGCUUGGGUGAGGAGGAGAGGAGGUGACAAUGGGCCUGUGUGUUCAUGAAUCGGAGAGAAAAUCACAGCUUAUAACCGAUCGUUUUGGACGAGUGAAUUUCUCAAUCGGAGUCGUCUUGAUAUCUUCACGGAGACAGGGGCGAGUCUCACCCACCAACCAAUGAUGCCGAAGCCCUCACAAGUUGAUGAAAAUAAAAGUGUCGAGGCUGAGGGAUAAUGGCAGAGUAUCUACAAUGCAAUUUAGGUUACUUACUCACUUACUCGUCAACAAAUCCCAUUGGAUCCUCUUCUUCUCUAAUUCUCUGGUUGCACCUUUGGAAGCUCACGAAUUUUUGCAACACUCAAUGACUGGCAAAAUACGAGAAAAAAAACGACUCUUAUUUUAUGCGGACUGUAUGCGCUACACAUGCCUGCCAGACAUUUUUGCGUCGCUCCUCAGGCCUACCAAUUUUCAAAUUGCCCGUUUUACGGGUUCUUCAUUUGUGCAAACUCUCGGCACAGAUUCCUGCAAGACGUUCAGACGAUUACGUUAUUCUUUUCAGUUCAAAUGCGAGUGUACGUAUGGAAAAUCGCAUAUUUCUUUAGUUGGAGUGCUGCAAGGAACAGUCAUUUAGCCCAUCCAAUCUGACCUGGGAUCUCCUAUCUGUGCCCAAGGAGCGCAUGUUCAGGGCAUGCCAGUGGAUCAUCGAUGUACUAGGGUUGGGAAUCCCACAGAAUUAAGCAAACUUCAAAUCCGAAUGGAAUUAUUCAAGAUCAUUUGAUGACUUCAUUUUUUUUUAAAUUUCAAGUUCGGUCAGUUUAUUCUGUGAGAUGGUUCCGUCCGACGGGUUGACAUAAUUUUUUUGGACCUCAAUAUUGGUUGGGCUCGGAAUAUCAGCGCUCCUGAUUUCAAAUCGUUGCAUAGACCCACAUGGAUUGUUGCAUUUCCAGUGGGCUAAGAAUAGGGCAGAGCAGACGGAUAUUAUCAAAUUAGCGGUCCACGAAAGUCAAGACGUAUUAUUUCCGAGGCGCCUCCGAUCCGCUCAAAGAUGAACUUAAUACCCAGGGACUACUUUUCUUGGGGAACAAGUCCUGGGUUCGUGGAGGCACUGGAUUUGGCUCGGAAUGAUAGGAGUCCACGGCAUAUUACGAUUGUGAACAAGUCAAAUUGGAGGCAUUACCUGAGCGAGGUUGGCUGGCUUAUAAUUGAAUAAGGCACGCUCAUAUAUCAGAUCUGGGAAGUUUUGGGCAUUUGAGCAUCCGACCAUAUCAUCACUUGAUAAAAGAAAUCGAAAAAAGCCACCUCGUGGAAGCGCUGCUCGAAAGAAUGAAAUGGGGACUCUGUUGGAUGCUGUAAAUUCGACGAGCAUGUUUUCGCAGUUUCGAAAUUAGCAUAAAUUCAUUUGAAAUGCAAAGUAUGUCCAAAAACCAAAGAUCACGAUGAGAUCGUGAAUGGUUUUCCUAUUGAAUCAAAUCAG